rnacentral:rRNA from 1 species
GACGAACGCUGGCGGCGUGCCUAAUACAUGCAAGUAGGACGCAGUUGCGAACGGGUGAGUAACGCGUAGGUAACUACCUAUUAGAGGGGGAUAACUAUUGGAAACGAUAGCUAAUACCGCAUACCAGUAGAUGGACCUGCGUUGUAUUAGAUAGUAGGUAGGGUAAUGGCGUACCUAGGCCACGCUACGUAGCCGAGCUGGUGGAGUGAACGGCGUACCUGGUACUGAGACACGGACCAGACUCCUACGUGAGUCAGCAGUAGGGAAGCUGGGGAGAUGGGGGGAAGCGUGACCGAGUAACGCCGCGAGAGGGAAGAGGGUUUUCGGAUCUUAAGGCUCUGUUGUUAAGGAAGCGGUACUUAGCGAGAAAGGGACGGCUAACUACGUGCCAGCAGCCGCGGUAAUAC